rnacentral:rRNA from 1 species
GACGAACGCUGGCGGCGUGCUUAACACAUGCAAGUCGAGCGGUAAGGCCCUUUCGGGGGUACACGAGCGGCGAACGGGUGAGUAACACGUGGGUGACCUGCCCUCAGCUCUGGGAUAAGCCUGGGAAACCGGGUCUAAUACUGGAUAUGACUCCAUGACGCAUGUUGUGGGGUGAAAGCCUUGUGCGGCUGAGGAUGGGCCCGCGGCCUAUCAGCUUGUUGGUGGGGUGAUGGCCUACCAGGCGACGACGGGUAGCCGGCCUGAGAGGGCGACCGGCCACACUGGGACUGAGACACGGCCCAGACUCCUACGGGAGGCAGCAGUGGGGAAUCUUGCGCAAUGGGCGAGAGCCUGACGCAGCGACGCCGCGUGAGGGAUGACGGCCUCGG